rnacentral:sRNA from 1 species
AGUCCCCGCUGAGACUGAGCAGACGCCUCCAGGAUCUGUCGGCAGCUGCUGUUCUGAGGGAGAGCAGAGACCAUGUCUGACAUAGAAGAGGUGGUGGAAGAGUACGAGGAGGAGGAGCAGGAAGAAGCAGCUGUUGAAGAGCAGGAGGAGGCAGCGGAAGAGGAUGCUGAAGCAGAGGCUGAGAUCGAGGAGACCAGGGCAGAAGAAGAUGAAGAAGAAGAGGAAGCAAAGGAGGCUGAAGGUAAGGAUAUCAGGAGAGAGGUACAAGGGAGGCAAAGGAACCCCUCACAGCAGCUUUGGAGGAGAAUGCCCACAGUGCUCUUUCCAGGGAAGUGGAUGUGCACUGAGAGGGUUUGGGAGAGGAGAGGACAGAACUUGGUGGCACUUCCAAAGUUUUAGAUGUUGAGCUUUCAACUUUGCCCCUUCUCCCAGAGAAGUUGCAUUGGUGGCACCCAGUGGGAGAGGGGACCAUUGUCCAGCCCCCUGGUCUGGACAGAGCAAUGGGACCCAGAAGUCAUAUCCACACAUGAAGCUCCUAGAGCUUAGGUGAAAUCACUUG